GAUGAAGAACGCAGCGAAAUGCGAUAAGUAAUGUGAAUUGCAGAAUUCAGUGAAUCAUCGAAUCUUUGAACGCACCUUGCGCCCUUUGGCCAUUCCGAAGGGCAUGCCUGUUUGAGUAUCAUGAACACCUCAACUCUUCAUGGUUUUCCAUGAUGAGCUUGGACUUUGGGGGUCUUGCUGGCCUGUGGGUCGGCUCCUCUCAAAUGAAUCAGCUUGCCGGUUUUUGGUGGGCAUCACAGGUGUGAUAACUAUCUACACUUGUGGUUUUCCACCAGGGUAACCUUCAGCAGUGGAGGUUCACUGGAGCUUACAAAUGUCUCUCCUCUGUGAGGACAGCCCUUUGAAUGUUUGAUCUCAAAUCAGGUAGGACUACCCGCUGAACUUAAGCAUAUCAAUAAGCGGAGGA
rnacentral:misc_RNA from 1 species